rnacentral:rRNA from 1 species
UACAGAGGUCCCAAGCGUUGUUCGGAUUCACUGGGCGUAAAGGGUGCGAUAGGUGGUUGGGUAAGUCUGAUGUGAAAUCUCCGGGCUCAACCCGGAAAUGGCAUUGGAUACUAUUCGGCUAGAGGUUUGGAGGGGGACUGGAAUUCUCGGUGUAGCAGUGAAAUGCGUAGAUAUCGAGAGGAACACCAGUGGCGAAGGCGAGUCCCUGGACAACACCUGACACUGAGGCACGAAAGCUAGGGGAGCAAACAGG